rnacentral:lncRNA from 1 species
GGUGCUAGUUUAGGCUCAAUUCAGCAUGUAGAAGUGUUCUGAUAUCUUCUCUCUGUGAUUUGCAUUUGAAGACAUUGUCAUUCUUGCUUCUGACUGAGACUUCCCAUGAAUACACCCCGCGUUGAAAAAGACAUCAGCUACCCCUGAGAGAGAUGCAAGUAACUUUAGUUCUCUCAACUCAAGAUGUUUGUUAGCUUCUAGUUUACUUUCUUAUUAAUGUUGACUAGUGUUUUAUUCUAAACCAGUUUCAAUCAAAGAAAAUCUUAUGUAUACUCUAUAGCACAAUUGUACAUGGAACUGAUAAAAAAAUAGGAUAUUUGGGUGCUUUAAGCUCUCCUUGUUCAACUUGUGUAGCUCCAAUGUGUUGGCAUUCUGUAUCAGGGGCAUCUUCUUCCUCAUUCUUGCAGCCAUAUAGACAAAUUAACAAUAAUAAGAAUUUUAAUGUAAGAUAAUUGAUGAUUAGGUCAAUCCUUUUACCCAACUUUCAUCGACUUUACACACGAAAAAUUAACAAGAUCCUGAAUUUCUAUAUUGGGACCUUUAAAUGCUAAAAAAGGUGGCCCUAAUUCAUAUUGAGUGACCCUUGAAUGCUAAAGAAGUGUGUGGAUCAUGGUGAGGCUAUAGGUUAUGUAAAAGUUUUGGAAAAAAAGUGUCCGAAAGUCAUAUUACCAAAAAUUCAAGAUUUCACCAAAAAUUAAAAAAAUCGCCUAAUUCAUGUUGAGUAACCCCUAAAUGCUAAAAAAGUGGUGUGGAUCAUGGUGAGACUAUAUGUAUUGUUCCUCGUGUCAUUAUGGAUGGUCCUUGUAAAAGUUUUGUAAAAAAAAAAAGUUUUAAGUCAUAUCACCAAAAAAUUCAUGGACUAGCACAUGAAAAACUGAGAAAAGUAACCCUAAAUGCUAAAAAAAAAGUGGCGUGGAUUAUGGUGAAACUAUAAAUAUUGUUCCACCGGGUCAUUACAUAUGGUCUUGUAAGGAUUUUGAAAAAAGGUGCAUGAAAGGUAUAUCACCAAAAAAAUUAUGGACUAACACAAACAAAAAUACUAAAAAAAAUGAAUUAAUUCCUAUUGAAUGAACAUAAAAUGCUAAAAAAAAUGGUGUGGAUCAUGUUAAUGCUAUACAUAUUGUUCUCCGGGUCAUUAUGUAGGGCCCGGUAAAUUAUUUUGAAAUAUGUAACCGAAAUUCAUAUCAUCAAAAAAUUCAUGUAUUAAAAACACGAAAAAAUGAUAAAAUUGUCUAAUUCUUAUUGAAUAGUCCUUAAAUGUUUUUAAAAAAUGAUGUGGGUCAUGAUGAAGCUACAUGUAUUGUUCCUCCAAGUCAUUACAGAUGGUCAUGUAAAAAAUGUGCUCGAAAUCCAUAUCAUCAAAAAACUCAUGUACUAACACAUAAGAAAAUCGCCUAAAUGCUUGUUGAGUGGCUCCUUAAAUGCGAAAAAGUGGUGUGAAUCAUGGUGAGGUUAUAUAUAUUGUUCUCCGGGUCAUUACAGAGGAUCAUGUAAAGUUUUGUAAAUAAAUACACAAAAUCCAUAUCAACAAAAAAUUUAUUUAUCAACACGCAUAAAAUAUUGAGAAAAUCAUCUAAUUUCUAUUGAUUACCCUGAUAUUUAAAAAAGUUGCAUGUAUCAUUAUUGGCUAUAUGUAUUGUUCUAAUAGGUCAUUUAUGAAAUGUUUGUAUAGUUUUUAUAAAAAAAAAAGUGUCUGAAAUCUAUAUCAUCAAGAAAUUCAUAUCAACGAAAAUCUAAAAAAAUCUCCUAAAUUUUGUUGUGUGGUUCGUGAAUGCUAGAAAACCGGUCUUGGUAAUGGUGAGGAAUAUUUAUUUUUGGGAAAAGAGUUUGAAAAAUAUUUCAACUUUGGCCAGAAUUUUUGUUACGAUAUCAAACUUUAUGGAGGAACUUUUACCCCAUCGACCAUUUAAUAAUGUAUUUUAUAGGUAUAUAUGUGCCCACGUGGGCACAUUAUUAUUUAUGAUGACACAUAUUUAUGAUGUGCGAUUGUACACGGUCCUUUCCAAAAUUUUGGUAUUGUUACAUCAAUUUUGAUCAAAAUUUAUAUUUUUC